AGGCUGGAGUGCAGUGGCACGAUCUCAGCUAACUUCAACCUCCAUCUCCGCGCUUCAAGUGAGUCUCCUGCCUCAGGCUCCCGAGUAGCUGGGACAACAGGUGCUUGCAGCCCCAGUCACGUACCCCCUGCUUGCUCAAUCAAUCACGACCCUCUCAUGCAGACCCCCUUAGAGUUGUAAGCCCUUAAAAGGGACAGGAAUUGCUCACUCAGAGAGCUGGUUUUUGGAGAGAGAGGUGAUUAAGGGACGGUCGAGGCAGCCCCUUAGGUGGCUUAGGCCUGCCCUGUGGAGCAUCCCUAGGGGGAACUCCAGCCUGUUUGAGCGACACAGAUCUGGAGAGCGCUUCCGGGUAGGCAAUUGCCCGGGUGGAACGCCUCGCCAGAGCAGCGCGUGGCAGGCCCUCGUGGAGGAUCAACGCAGUGGCUGAACACCGGGAAGGAACUGGCACUUUGUUGUCAGGGCAUAUUCCAAAAGCACUAAGGCCUUCCUAUCAAAAAUCCUUAACCCAGUAACCCGCGGAUGGCCCAGAUGCAUUCAAUCUGUAGCGGCAACUGUUUUGCUAACAGAAGAAAGUAAAAAAAUAACUUUUAGAGGAAACCUCAUUGUGAGCACACCUCACCAGUUCAGAGGUAUCCUAAGGAAGAAAAAAAAAAAGAUGAUUUAACAUUAACCACUGAAAAUUCUCUUAACACAGCAGGUUUCCUAACAGGGGAUCUAAAUCUUAAUUACCAUACAAAGCUCUGACCAAACCUAGGAGGGGUUCCCUUCAGGACAGGAGGAUAGAUGGUUCCUCCCAGGUAAUUAAAAAAAAAAAAGCCAUCUAUACCAAUUCUAAGUUAAUUUGGACUAAAUAAGGUCUUAUUAAUAGCAAAGGAUAAUUGAAAUCCAAAACUUACAAGGUUUUCAACAAAAGUAAAGUUUGCUAAAAGUUAACAGUGUAACAUGUAUUAUAGUAACUUCUAAUCUUGUGACCUUAGACAGUCUAGUCCACAGACAUAAAGGAAGUUCUCUUUGGAAAAGAAUGGUUGUCAUCCUCGGAAAAAAAAAAGGAAAUAAAAAGGAGGCAGAAUUUAUAUAAAAAAGAAUGUUAUAUGGAAAAUCCUUGUCCUGAGAUAAACUAACUAGUUGUUUACAGAAAGGGAUGUUUGCAAUAAGUCAGAAAGUUGAGGCAUGUAAAAGAAUUGUCUGUGAAAGUCAUGAAAAAAAUGUGUGUUAGAAAAAUAAAUUUAUGCAAGAAAUGUUGUAUAAUUUAAAAGUAAUUAGGCCUCCUAAAUGUAAAACUAUUGAAUAAAUAGUUUAUGUGCAAGGUAUGUAAGGAAAGUAAAAUAUACCUUUGGUAAAAAGAUUAACAGGAUGCAUAAGAAUGUGGAUUUUUACCUACAUUAAAAGGUUACAAAAAUUGUUUUGAAGGUUUAAGCAAGUUUUGAAACCUUAAUUGUAAAGAAAAUUCUGUGUCUAAACAUAUUGGCUGAAGUUAAGGGG